rnacentral:rRNA from 1 species
GAGUAAUGUAUCGGAACGUGCCCAGGUAGCGGGGACAACCACUCGAAAGAGUGGCUAAUACCGCACUACGACCGUACGGGGAAGGGGGGGAUCGCAAGACCUCUCACUAUUGGAGCGGCCGAUAUCGGAUUAGCUAGUUGGUGGGGUAAAGGCCUACCAAGGCGACGAUCCGUAGCUGGUUUGAGAGGACGACCAGCCACACUGGGACUGAGACACGGCCCAGACUCCUACGGGAGGCAGCAGGUGGGGAAUUUUGGACAAUGGGGAAACCCUGAUCCAGCCAUUCCGCGUGUGCGAUGAAGGCCUUCGGGUUGUAAAGCACUUUUGGCAGGAAAGAAAUCGUGUGGGUUAAUACCCUGCGCGGAUGACGGUACCUGCAGAAUAAGCACCGGCUAACUACGUG